AUUGAACGCUGGCGGCAUGCUUUACACAUGCAAGUCGAACGGUAACAGGCCUUCGGGUGCUGACGAGUGGCGAACGGGUGAGUAAUUCAUCGGAACGUGCCCAGAGGUGGGGGAUAACGCAGCGAAAGCUGUGCUAAUACCGCAUGUGAUCUGAGGAUGAAAGCGGGGGACCAGGCAGCAAUGUUUGGCCUCGCGCCUUUGGAGCGGCCGAUGUCAGAUUAGGUAGUUGGUGGGGUAAAGGCCUACCAAGCCGACGAUCUGUAGCUGGUCUGAGAGGACGACCAGCCACACUGGGACUGAGACACGGCCCAGACUCCUACGGGAGGCAGCAGUGGGGAAUUUUGGACAAUGGGCGCAAGCCUGAUCCAGCAAUGCCGCGUGCGGGAAGAAGGCCUUCGGGUUGUAAACCGCUUUUGUACGGAACGAAAAGGCUCUGGCUAAUACCUGGGGCUGAUGACGGUACCGUAAGAAUAAGCACCGGCUAACUACGUG
rnacentral:rRNA from 1 species